ensembl:lncRNA
GGCAUUAUUUUUUGUAAAUGUGUUUGCUUGAACAUUCUAUUCAGAUUCCGAGGCUUCUUCACGCCUGGUGAAGUUGUGAAUCGCGAGCUCAUUAGGCAUACUAGCAUGUUAUAAAUAUCCUGGCCAUGGAUGCAUUAAUAAUUGCAUCUGUCUUUCAAAGAUGUCAGGUAAAAAACAAAUAAGCAUCCGGUCCUUCGCCCAAAGAGGAAAUUAGGCCCAGAGAAGGUCGUAAACACAUUAGAGGAGGAGAUGGUGGAAGAGGAAGAGACAGUACAGGUGGAAGAGGAAGAGACAGUGCAGGUGGAGGAGGAAGAGACAGUGCAGGUGGAGGAGGAGGAGACGGUGCAGGUGGAAGAGGAGGAGACGGUGGAAGAGAUGGUGGAAGAAACAGUGGAGGAGAUGGCUAGAACAAAAGGGAGAAAAGUCCCAGGAGCAGCCACCUACAAGACCUCUUUUAAUAGUGAAUGGACCUCUAAAUGGCCAUUUAUUACUGUAGGAAGCACCAGCAAAUAUUACUGGUGCUCUAUCUGCUGCCAAGAGAACUCCUGUGCCCAUCUAGGUGUGCGGGAUGUGACAAGGCACAUAGGCAGUAAGGGGCAUCAGGCCAAACAGCAGGCACUGAAGUCAACCAGCACAGUCAAAACUUUUACUUGCCAGUGACUGCAGAGAUGAGUGUGCAAGAGGUCAAGGUACAUUUAAAUCCAUAAGGUUGACUACAAUGUUCAUGAAUACCAUUUUUCCUAAUUAAUACAUCCAAUUCUAUGACUAUGGCAUAUAUAAUGGGAAUCAACACCAAAAAUGAUAAAAGAAUCCAAAAAGGCAACAAACACCUACAAUAAACAACACAAGUCAUAAUUCUCUCUCUCUCUCUCUCUCUCUCUCUCUUUCUCUCCCAAAUUGAAUAAAUACUUUGUAAUUGGUUGAAUUGUCAGUGCCAUGUGUCAAAUUUUUUCAGAAAGUCUGAGUAAUUAUUAACAACAACAAAACUAAUAAUAAUAUGGGGGGAGGGGCUGGUCUAUGGGC